UACGAAGGGGGCUAGCGUUGCUCGGAAUCACUGGGCGUAAAGGGCGCGUAGGCGGAUCUUUAAGUCGGGGGUGAAAGCCUGUGGCUCAACCUCAGAAUUGCCUUCGAUACUGGGGAUCUCGAGACCGGAAGAGGUGAGUGGAACUGCGAGUGUAGAGGUGAAAUUCGUAGAUAUUCGCAAGAACACCAGUGGCGAAGGCGGCUCACUGGUCCGGUUCUGACGCUGAGGCGCGAAAGCGUGGGGAGCAAACAGG
rnacentral:rRNA from 1 species